rnacentral:rRNA from 1 species
UGAGGAACAUGACCUUCGGCGGGGGAUAGCCGGCCCAACGGCCGGGUAAUACCGCGUACGACCACAUGGGGACAUCCCCGAGUGGUGAAAGCAGCAAUGCGCCGAUGGAGUGCCUCGCGGCCUAUCAGCUAGUUGGUGAGGUAACGGCUCACCAAGGCGACGACGGGUAGCUGGUCUGAGAGGGCGACCGGCCACACUGGGACUGAGAUACGGCCCAGACUCCUACGGGAGGNAG